CCUACGGGAGGCAGCAGUGGGGAAUAUUGCACAAUGGGGGAAACCCUGAUGCAGCGACGCCGCGUGAAGGAAGAAGUUUUUCGGUAUGUAAACCUCUAUCAGCAGGGAAGAAAAUGACGGUACCUGACUAAGAAGCCCCGGCUAACUACGUGCCAGCAGCCGCGGUAAUACGUAGGGGGCCAGCGUUAUCCGGAUUUACUGGGUGUAAAGGGAGCGUAGGCGGUUUAGCAAGUCAGAAGUGAAAGCCCUGGGGUCAACGCCGGGACUGCUUUUGAAACUGGUUAACUAGAUUGCCGGAGAGGUAAGUGGAAUGCCUAGUGUAGCGGUGAAAUGCGUAGAUAUUAGGAGGAACACCAGUGGCGAAGGCGGCUUACUGGACUGUAAAUGACGCUGAGGCUCGAAAGCGUGGGGAGCAAACAGGAUUAGAUACCCUUGUAGUC
rnacentral:rRNA from 1 species